CAGUCAAAAUGACUGUGAUGUG
rnacentral:miRNA from 1 species